rnacentral:rRNA from 1 species
AUUGAACGCUGGCGGCAGGCUUAACACAUGCAAGUCGAGCGAGCGGCGGACGGGUGAGUCAUGUCUGGGAACCUGCCUGAUGGCGGGGGAUAACUACUGGAAACGGUAGCUAAUACCGCAUACCAUCAGAUGUGCCCAGAUGGGAUUAGCUAGUAGGUGGGGUAAUGGCUCACCUAGGCUACCAUCCCUAGCUGGUUGGAGAGGAUGACCAGCCACACGGGAACUGAGACACGGCCCAGACUCCUACGGGAGGAAGCAGUGGGGAACAUUGCAAAAGGGGCGCAAGCCUGAUGCAGCCAUGCCGCGUGUAGGAAGAAGGCCUUCGGGUGUUAAAGUACUUUCAGCGGGGAGGCGUUACCCGCAGAAGAAGCACCGGCUAACUCCGUGCCAGCCGCCGCGGUAAUUC